rnacentral:rRNA from 1 species
UACGAAGGGGGCUAGCGUUGCUCGGAAUCACUGGGCGUAAAGCGCACGUAGGCGGCUUCUUAAGUCAGGGGUGAAAUCCUGGAGCUCAACUCCAGAACUGCCUUUGAUACUGAGGAGCUUGAGUCCGGGAGAGGUGAGUGGAACUGCGAGUGUAGAGGUGAAAUUCGUAGAUAUUCGCAAGAACACCAGUGGCGAAGGCGGCUCACUGGCCCGGUACUGACGCUGAGGUGCGAAAGCGUGGGGAGAAAACAGG